rnacentral:rRNA from 1 species
AACGAACGCUGGCGGCAUGCCUAAUACAUGCAAGUCGAACGAAGGCUUCGGCCUUAGUGGCGCACGGGUGCGUAACGCGUGGGAAUCUACCCUUGGGUUCGGAAUAACAGUUAGAAAUGACUGCUAAUACCGGAUGAUGACGUAAGUCCAAAGAUUUAUCGCCCAAGGAUGAGCCCGCGUAAGAUUAGCUAGUUGGUGAGGUAAAGGCUCACCAAGGCUACGAUCUUUAGCUGGUCUGAGAGGAUGAUCAGCCACACUGGGACUGAGACACGGCCCAGACUCCUACGGGAGGCAGCAGUAGGGAAUAUUGGACAAUGGGCGAAAGCCUGAUCCAGCAAUGCCGCGUGAGUGAUGAAGGCCUUAGGGUUGUAAAGCUCUUUUACCCGAGAUGAUAAUGACAGUAUCGGGAGAAUAAGCUCCGGCUAACUCCGUGCCAGCAGCCGCGGUAAAGUCACGUCG